rnacentral:rRNA from 1 species
GCAAGUCGAACGCUCCGCAAGGAGAGUGGCAGACGGGUGAGUAACACGUGGGAACGUACCCUUUACUACGGAACAACUCCGGGAAACUGGAGCUAAUACCGUAUGUGCCCUUCGGGGGAAAGAUUUAUCGGUAAAGGAUCGGCCCGCGUUGGAUUAGCUAGUUGGUGGGGUAAAGGCCUACCAAGGCGACGAUCCAUAGCUGGUCUGAGAGGAUGAUCAGCCACAUUGGGACUGAGACACGGCCCAA